rnacentral:rRNA from 1 species
UACAGAGGGUGCGAGCGUUAAUCGGAAUUACUGGGCGUAAAGCGUGCGCAGGCGGUCCGCAAAGUCUGAUGUGAAAUCCCCGGGCUUAACCUGGGAAUGGCAUUUGGGACUGCAAGGCUUGAGUGCGGCAGAGGAGACUGGAAUUCCUGGUGUAGCAGUGAAAUGCGUAGAUAUCAGGAGGAACACCGAUGGCGAAGGCAGGUCUCUGGGCUGACACUGACGCUCAUGCACGAAAGCGUGGGGAGCAAACAGG